UGGGGAAUUUUGGGCAAUGGGCGAAAGCCUGACCCAGCAACGCCGCGUGAGGGAUGAAGGUCCUCGGAUCGUAAACCUCUGUCAGGAGGGAAGAGCAGUUGCAUGGCCAAUACCCAUGCGGCCCGACGGUACCUCCAAAGGAAGCGCCGGCUAACUCCGUGCCAGCAGCCGCGGUAAUACGGAGGGCGCAAGCGUUGUUCGGAAUUACUGGGCGUAAAGCGCGUGUAGGCGGUUUGGAAAGUCGGAUGUGAAAGCCCCGGGCCUAACCCGGGAAUUGCAUCCGAAACUUCUGAACUAGAGUCCCGGAGAGGAAGGCAGAAUUCCCAGUGUAGGGGUGAAAUCCGUAGAUAUUGGGAGGAAUACCAGUGGCGAAGGCGGCCUUCUGGACGGUGACUGACGCUGAGACGCGAAAGCGUGGGGAGCAAACAGGAUUAGAUACCCGGGUAGUCC
rnacentral:rRNA from 1 species